rnacentral:rRNA from 1 species
ACGAACGCUGGCGGCGUGCUUAACCCAUGCAAGUCGAACGGAAAGGCCCUGCUUUUGUGGGGUGCUCGAGUGGCGAACGGGUGAGUAACACGUGAGUAACCUGCCCUUGACUUUGGGAUAACUUCAGGAAACUGGGGCUAAUACCGGAUAGGAGCUCCUGCUGCAUGGUGGGGGUUGGAAAGUUUCGGCAGUUGGGGAUGGACUCGCGGCUUAUCAGCUUGUUGGUGGGGUAGUGGCUUACCAAGGCUUUGACGGGUAGCCGGCCUGAGAGGGUGACCGGCCACAUUGGGACUGAGAUACGGCCCAGACUCCUACGGGAGGCAGCAGUGGGGAAUAUUGCACAAUGGGCGGAAGCCUGAUGCAGCAACGCCGCGUGCGGGAUGACGGCCUUCGGGUUGUAAACCGCUUUCGCCUGUGACGAAGCGUGAGUGACGGUAAUGGGUAAAGAAGCACCGGCUAACUACGUG